rnacentral:tRNA from 1 species
GCCCCCGUAGCUCAGCGGAUAGAGCAGAGGUUUCCUAAACCUUGUGCCCAGGUUCGAUUCCUGGCGGGGGUA